rnacentral:lncRNA from 1 species
GGGGGCAUCCCUGCAUCGUGAGUCGAAACCAGAGCUCCCAUUCUCUGAGGGUCCAUUGAUGGGUAGAAUGCUCUCUCCUGUUGAGGUGGUGGAGGUGGAAUAUUGAAGUAGUGCAUAGCUUGAGGUUGGUCAUGGGUUCCCGGAGGGUGUAAUUGGUUGUGCUGCUGUGAGAUAACUGCUCGCGGCAACAUUCCACUGUGAGCCACGGCAGCUUGUUUUGCUUCAUCAGAACCUUCUAUCUCGGCUUUUGGUGCUUGAGGUCUGCCCCAC